GUGCUCGCUUUGGCAGCACAUAUACUAAAAUUGUAACCAUACAGAGUAGAUUAGUAUGGCCCCUGCACCAGGAUGACAUGCAAAUUGUGAAGCGUUAUGUAUAUAU